rnacentral:rRNA from 1 species
UGGGGAAUUUUGGACAAUGGGGGAAACCCUGAUCCAGCCAUCCCGCGUGUGCGAUGAAGGCCUUCGGGUUGUAAAGCACUUUUGGCAGGAAAGAAACGUCAUGGGUUAAUACCCCGUGAAACUGACGGUACCUGCAGAAUAAGCACCGGCUAACUACGUGCCAGCAGCCGCGGUAAUACGUAGGGUGCAAGCGUUAAUCGGAAUUACUGGGCGUAAAGCGUGCGCAGGCGGUUCGGAAAGAAAGAUGUGAAAUCCCAGAGCUCAACUUUGGAACUGCAUUUUUACCUGCCGGGCUAGAGUGUGUCAGAGGGAGGUGGAAUUCCGCGUGUAGCAGUGAAAUGCGUAGAUAUGCGGAGGAACACCGAUGGCGAAGGCAGCCUCCUGGGAUAACACUGACGCUCAUGCACGAAAGCGUGGGGAGCAAACAGG